UGAUUCAAAAAAAUAAGAGAAUCAUUUGUUACCAGAAAAUGAAUUGUGUGAAGUAAUAAACAAACUAGAACACAGAAUGAAUGGAUAAACUUUUAGUUAAAGGUUUUCACCAAACCACCAAUUGCUCUACAAAAAUUUACAGUGAAAACAGAAGUUCAAAUGAUAAGAAAACUCGUUUACAAAUAAUAUACUCAAACACCAAAAUAAUCAACUUAAGAGUGAGACAAGAGCGGAGCCUAAAUCAAAGAAAUUAAUAAAACAAAACACCAACUAACUUAAACCAACCUCAAUUCUAAUCUAAUCAAAUGAAAAGAAAAGAAA